CUGUGUCUUUCCCUAGGUUGGAGUUUGACAUAUAAUCAGCGCCUAGUAAUUGCUAAGGGAGUGGCAUCUUUCAUGGUCAGAGUGGAUUUUGCUUUUUCUGAGAGCCAUCUGCCCCGUACCUUCCUGGCUGUGCCCUCAGAGGCUGUGUCUUCCCAAACAAGAACGAGGCUGGCCUCCUGACCCCGAACUACCCCACUGGGCCACUGCCCCGACCUCUAUACACUUCUUUCUUUACUGCCAACGGGCCGUGCCCUGGUUAUCCGUGUUCUCCUCUUCCAGAACAUCCUUCCCGACCACUCACUGGCUUCCCAAAUGUCGGUGUAACUGGGGGAUGGACUGUCUGGUGCCCAUACUUCCCCUGUCCUCCCUCUGUCCCAAAGCCCGGAAACACAGGACCCCUGAGAACUGCGUCGACCCUUCGGUGGCCACGCUUCUCCCUCUUCCUUUCUCUCCCUCCUUGGUGUUUUUUGAGCAUCUACUCUGUGCCCCGGUGGGGGUCCCGGAGACACACCCGAUGUCAGUGCCUCUCCCCUGCAAAUUUAGCACCCCACUGUUACGUUCUCGGGGGACCCUGCUCUCAUUCCCACCCAGAUAGAUACCUACAGAGAGACGCCUGGUGGGGGAUCUGAGGACCCCGGCUCUAGCUAGAGUCCUGGUUUAGUUGUGUUUGGCUGCGUGACCCAGGCGAGCCACCUGCCUUCUCUCAGCCUCAGGAUCCGUCUCUCCCAAAUGGAUGUUUUGUCGUAAACAGUCUCUAAGGUUUCUUCUGCUUGUUCAGGGCUCAGCGAGCUUGCCUGGUACACGCAGCGGAACCCAGCCCAGUUUACACGCACGUCGCCUCGGCAAACGGGAAACAAAGGCGUGGUGCGGAGAGCUGGCGCUACGGAGAGGUGACACCAAGGACAGCAGGGGGACUGCUUAAUUUGUCAUCUUUGCAUAUCUCCAUGGCGUUGAGCGCCAGCUGGGAACAGAAGUCCUAAAAUACCCAAGCGAGGCCAUCUCUGCAGAAGGAGAGACUCUCGACGGACCCAGCAAGACUCUCUCUCUCCUCCAAUUUAUGCAUCCUCAAAAAACUUUUAAGUGGAUUGGUUGAAAUCUUGUUUUCCCCCUAGUGUUCCUGUCUCUCAGUUCUCCCCUUUUAUACUCCAUGGUAUGUGUGAUUUCCAGAAAAAACAAAUCCCAAAUACAAUUAGUAGCUAGGAA